GACGAACGCUGGCGGCGUGCUUAACACAUGCAAGUCGAACGGAAAGGCCUGCUUUCCCUUGUGGAUUGCGGGUGCUCGAGUGGCGAACGGGUGAGUAACACGUGAGUGAUCUGCCCCCAACUUGGGUAUAAGCCUGGGAAACUGGGUCUAAUUCCCGAUAGGACUGCAGGGUGGUGCCUGUGGUGGAAAACGAUUUUCUAGUGGUUGGGGAUGAGCUCGCGGCCUAUCAGCUUGUUGGUGGGGUAAUGGCCUACCAAGGCGGCGACGGGUAGCCGGCCUGAGAGGGUGGACGGCCAAAUUGGGACUGAGAUACGGCCCAGACUCCUACGGGAGGCAGCAGUGGGGAAUAGUGCACAAUGGGCGGAAGCCUGAUGCAGCGACGCCGCGUGGGGGAUGACGGCCUUCGGGUUGUAAACUCCUUUCGACCGAGAGGAAGCCACCUGGUUGGAAGGGUGGUGACGGUAGUGGUAGAAGAAGCACCGGCUAACUACGUG
rnacentral:rRNA from 1 species